UAUAACUCAGUGGUAGAGUGCUUGCCUAGCAUGCAAGAAACCAUGGGUUCAAUCCCCAAUA
rnacentral:tRNA from 1 species